AAGCCUGCCUGGUUGAUGUCUUCCCACUGAAACGGUGCGUUUGCCCCCCUCGUUUCCACUGCAACUUCUCUCUCUCACAUUUCAACAGUCAUAAACACUUUCGCUCCGAAUCCGAAAAUCCAGUACAAAGCAGAAUUCAACUCCAUCAUCAUCAUCAUCAUCAUCAUCAUCAAUAGAUCAGAGCCGUGGAUCGGAGUGGACCUGAAACAUGGUGCUGAUAUCGGCCGUACGCGAUUACAUCAACCGGAUGUUACAGGACAUCUCGGGCAUGAAGGUUCUCAUCCUCGAUUCUCACACGGUUAGUAUAGUUAGUGUUGGGUAUUCACAGUCAGAACUUCUUCAGAAAGAAGUAUUCUUGGUAGAAUUGGUAGAUUCCAUUUACAAAUCAAAAGAACCAAUGUCACAUCUUAAAGCGGUUUACUUCCUUCGGCCCACUUCAGAGAAUAUCCAGCAUUUGCGGCAACAGCUAGCUAGUCCUAGAUUUGGAGAGUACCACCUAUUUUUCUCCAACAUAUUGAAGGAUACUCAGAUUCAUAAUUUAGCUGAUGCAGAUGAACAGGAAGUUGUUCAGCAGAUCCAGGAAUUUUAUGCGGACUUUGUAGCAAUUGAUCCUUACCAUUUCACUUUGAAUAUGCUGUCAAAUCACAUUUAUAUGCUCCCAGCAGUUGUAGAUCCUUCAAAUUCGCAGCACUUCUGUGACCGAGUUGUUGAUGGUAUUGCAUCCAUUUUUUUGGCCUUAAAAAGAAGACCUAUUAUUAGAUAUCAAAGGAAUUCUGAUAUUGCUAAGAGGAUUGCACAGGAAACAGCUAAGCUGAUGUACCAGCAGGAAAGUGGGCUUUUUGAUUUCAGGCGAAUGGAAGUUUCCCCAUUGUUGCUGGUAAUUGAUAGGAGGGAUGAUCCUGUGACCCCUUUGCUAAACCAGUGGACCUAUCAGGCAAUGGUUCAUGAAUUGAUAGGCAUUCAAGACAACAAGGUGGAUUUGAGAAACAUUGGCAAACUUCCAAAGGAUCAACAGGAGGUUGUGUUGUCAUCAGAACAAGAUGCCUUUUUCAAAGCUAACAUGUAUGAGAAUUUUGGAGAUAUUGGGAUGAAUAUCAAGCGAUUGGUAGAUGAAUUUCAGCAGAUUUCAAAGAGUAACCAGAGCAUCCAGACAAUAGAAGACAUGGCCAAAUUUGUUGACAAGUACCCUGAGUACAGAAAAAUGCAUGGAAAUGUUUCAAAGCAUGUGACAUUGGUCACAGAAAUGAGCAAGAUAGUUGAAGAGAGAAAACUCAUGUUAGUUUCAGAAACAGAGCAGGAGUUGGCUUGUAAUGGUGGUCAAGUGGCAGCAUUUGAGGCAGUGACAAAUCUUUUAAACAAUGAAAGUGUAUCUGAUAUUGACCGUUUACGCUUAGUGAUGCUUUAUGCUUUGCGCUAUGAGAAGGAAAGCCCUGUUCAAUUGAUGCAACUUUUCAACAAACUGGCUUCUCGGUCUGCCAAGUACAAACCAGGGCUUGUCCAGUUCGUCUUGAAGCAAGCAGGGGUUGAUAAGCGAACUGGGGAUCUUUUUGGAAAUCGAGAUCUUUUGAAUAUUGCUCGUAACAUGGCUCGUGGACUGAAGGGGGUUGAGAAUGUUUACACCCAGCACCAGCCCCUUUUGUUCCAAACCAUGGAAAGCAUUUCCAAGGGACGGUUGAGAGAUGUGGACUACCCAUAUGUUGGCAAUCACUUUCAGCAGGGCAGGCCACAGGAAGUAGUCAUAUUCAUUGUUGGAGGGACGACAUAUGAAGAGUCACGUUCUGUUGCUUUACAAAAUGCCAGCAAUUCUGGAAUUCGUUUUAUACUCGGUGGUUCUGUGGUUCUGAAUUCUAAGAGGUUUCUGAAAGACUUGGAAGAAGCUCAAAGGAUAGCUCGUUCUAGCACAGCAGUGAUUUGAAGGCCCAUCAUAUGGGUCUUGAGAGCCAAUAGAUAAUUUUUAUGGCUUUAUACAGAGCUUUUGACUUGGUGACUGGUGGUGGUAAGAUUGUUAAUGAAUAUUGGGAAGAGGAACUUGAUGAUCAUCAGAAUCAACCCACCUUUCUUGCAUAAGACAUCCAAUAUUCACCAAUUUGCAAAGGAAUAAAAAGAAAUAGGUUUUUUGGAGACUAAACCCAUUGUGUAUUGGAAUAUGAGAUAUUACUAGAUAUUACUGAUUCGCGAGAAACAAUUUGCAGACAGCCUUAUUGCUUGUUUAACAACACUACCUUGCCUUGUGAACGAAAAUGUAAAAUCAUACAAUUUUUUUUCUUUCUUUUUUGGAUUGUAUAGAUGCUUGAUUUAUCCUAGGUAGUUUUGUACUUGGACCAUAUUGUGAAAAGUUACAGCUGAGCAUAUGGUUGAGCCAGGGCCAGGGGUUUUGUUUAUACUUUAGCAAUCAAUGUUCUGGUGAAAUGGGAAAUUUAUGAAUAUUUGUGUAUGCAUAACUGGUAUUGAAACUUUUGCUAUUACAUAUAUUUUGAUCAUGUUUUCUGGUGAA